CGGCGCACGGGUGCGUAACGCGUAUGCAAUCUACCUUUCACAGAGGGAUAGCCCAGAGAAAUUUGGAUUAAUACCUCAUAGUAUAGCAGUUUCGCAUGAAACCACUAUUAAAGUCACAACGGUGAAAGAUGAGCAUGCGUCCCAUUAGCUAGUUGGUAAGGUAACGGCUUACCAAGGCAACGAUGGGUAGGGGUCCUGAGAGGGAGAUCCCCCACACUGGUACUGAGACACGGACCAGACUCCUGCGGGAGGCAGCAGUGAGGAAUAUUGGACAAUGGGCGCAAGCCUGAUCCAGCCAUGCCGCGUGCAGGAUGACGGUCCUAUGGAUUGUAAACUGCUUUUAUACAGGAAGAAACAGUUCUACGUGUAGAACCUUGACGGUACUGUAAGAAUAAGGAUCGGCUAACUCCGUGCCAGCAGCCGCGGUAAUACGGAGGAUCCAAGCGUUAUCCGGAAUCAUUGGGUUUAAAGGGUCCAUAGGCGGUCAGAUAAGUCAGUGGUGAAAGCCCAUCGCUCAACGGUGGAACGGCCAUUGAUAC
rnacentral:rRNA from 1 species